rnacentral:rRNA from 1 species
GACGAACGCUGGCGGCGUGCUUAACACAUGCCAGUCGAACGGAAAGGCCCUGCUUUUGUGGGGUGCUCGAGUGGCGAACGGGUGAGUAACACGUGAGUAAACUGCCCUUGACUUUGGGAUAACUUCAGGAAACUGGGGCUAAUACCGGAUAGGAGCUCCUGCUGCAUGGUGGGGGUUGGAAAGUUUCGGCGGUUGGGGAUGGACUCGCGGCUUAUCAGCUUGUUGGUGGGGUAGUGGCUUACCAAGGCUUUGACGGGUAGCCGGCCUGAGAGGGUGACCGGCCACAUUGGGACUGAGAUACGGCCCAGACUGCUACGGGAGGCAGCGGUGGGGAAUAUUGCACAAUGGGCGGAAGCCUGAUGCAGCAACGCCGCGUGCGGGAUGACGGCCUUCGGGUUGUAAACCGCUUUCGCCUGUGACGAAGCGUGAGUGACGGUAAUGGGUAAAGAAGCACCGGCUAACUACGUG